CUUAAUUGAAUGGAGUAGCUAUCUUUCGGGGUGGUCAAUUGGUUGUUAUAUCUCCACUAAUGAGCGGAGAGGGGUAAAAACUCUCAAAGUAAGUUAUGUGGGUCAAGGUAUGGUGAUUAAUUGGAGUUCUAGUUCAUUUACUUUGAGAAAAUUAGAGUGUUUAAAGCAGCCUCUUGGGGCACUGAAUACAUUAGCAUGGGAUAAUAAAAUAGGAUCUUCACAAUAUAUUUUAUUGGUUUAAAUUGGAUAUGAAGAUAAUGAUUAAUAGGGACAGUUGGGGGUAUUCAUAUUGGGUGGUUAGCGGUGAAAUGCUCGGAUCCAUUCAAGAUGAACUAAAGCGAAGGCAUUUACCAAGGAUGUUUUCAUUAAUCAAGAACGAAAGUUAAGGGAUCGAAGACGAUUAGAUACCGUCGUAGUCUUAACUAUAAACUAUGCCGAC
rnacentral:rRNA from 1 species